CCUACGGGUGGCAGCAGUGAGGAAUAUUGGUCAAUGGGCGCGAGCCUGAACCAGCCAAGUCGCGUGAGGGAUGAAGGUUCUAUGGAUCGUAAACCUCUUUUAUAAGGGAAUAAAGUGUGGGACGUGUCCUAUCUUGUAUGUACCUUAUGAAUAAGGACAGGCUAACUCCGUGCCAGCUGCGGCGGUAAUACGGAGGAUCCGAGCGUUAUCCGGAUGUCUUGGGUUGAAAGGGUGCGUAGGCGGACUUUCAAGUCAGCGGUGAAAGUUUGUGGCUCAACCAUAGAAUUGCCGUUGAAACUGGUGGGCUUGAGUAUAUUAGAGGCAGGCGGAAUGCGUGGUGUAGCGGUGAAAUGCUUAGAUAUCACGAAGAACCCCGAUGGCGAAGGCAGCCUGCCAAGCCAUGACUGACGCUGAUGCACGAAAGCGUGGGGAUCAAACAGGAUUAGAUACCCCAGUAGUC
rnacentral:rRNA from 1 species